rnacentral:misc_RNA from 1 species
GCCAAGCUUAAAGAUAAAUCACUCCCCACAUGGAAAAUUACAAUAAAGCUUCUCAUGUGAGGUUAAUAUAAAUCAUUUGAAAAACCCAUGUUGAUAUGGGUCCACUUGGCUUGAUAUUUCAACCCAAAAAUAGUACGUACGUAUUGAGAUUCAUGCAUGGCUUUUUUUGACGAAACCAAACCAGAAGCAUACCAAUAACAUUACCAUUAUUCUGCCCACAUUCUGCGACAUCUAUACAUCCUGCCUUCCUGGCCAGCGAGGUGACUGUAUGUGCAAGGCACGUGAUCAUUCAUUUCACGAGGCAAUAACUAGCAAGCCUGCGAAAGUCUCAAUCAUUGCAUGAAACAAACCUUGACAUUAAACUUCUGGAUAUCCAUGUCGUAGACAAAAUGAUACAUAAAUCUACGACAACUUGUAUUAGUUAUGUUGUGGGAAUUGUGGGAAUAAUAUAAUGCUUGCCAGGUUUUAAA